AAUAAUAACAAUCUCUUAGAGUGAAUUAAUGGGAACUGACAGUAUGAGUUGCUCGUAUUGAAGAGCGGCUAUGAUGUUGGUUUUCCCCACAUGUAAUGUCCACUCUUAAGCUACUGACUUCCUGCUGAAGUAUGUCUUUUAUAAUGUUUUAGUAAGGAGUAUUACAAAUACUGUAGCAACUCAAUAUUUUUCACAUUCACCCAUAAUAUUGGUAGGGCAUAUUUUUCUAACUGCAAUCAAAAAAACAAGUUUGUAUUUUUGCAUUUCAAAAGGUUUUGCUUGAGAGUCUAAAAGUUUUGCGACUCAUAACGUUUUGGUUGAGAUGCAGUGAUUACAGUGAGAGAAAUAUGCUGUCAAAACCUUUUUCUGCUUGUGUUAAAAAAAGAACAAAUAACGAAUAACUCCACAGAAACUGGUAUUCAUUCUUCGAUUAUGAAAAAGGACCAACCAUGCUCAGAUCUGAACAAAAUCCGUCCACAUCAGGGCAUGUCAGAUAAAUACUAAAUGUGUGUAAACACAUCACAGUCCAGAAACAAUUGAAAAAGAUUCAUGUUUAACACUGAUUGUAGCUAAGCAUCUCUCAUGCAACAUCCUACUAAGUGUCAUUGAAAAAUACACGCUGUGGCAGUAAAACAAAUAUAAAAUGUAGUUGUAUUCUGUAAUAGAAAUGCAGAAAUUUCAUUUUAGAAUUUGUGAAAAUAGUGUGAAUGAAGGAACAUGUUGCCUCAGUGUGUUCCCUGCAUGUUCCGAGGCUGGACUCGUUGGUAUUUGGACUCAGACUUGUCUCGGACUCGGUCAUUGGAAUUGCCAAAUAUUUUAGUUUGUCUCGCCAGAGUCCAGCACUUUAUGCUUUUGUUCUAAAGUAACUUCCUCCUUCAAAACUAAACCAUUAAUGAAGUGCGCUUGUUGAGAAAAACAGGUAUUAAUUUAAUUUAAAAUCCAUCUAGAACAGCGGGCACUGUGUACUAUUGAUUCUUCAGGAGACUACCACUAUAGGAACUUUUCCAACUCUUUAGUGACACCUGUUGUAAUUUGUUACAAAUUUCAUACCAGAAUAACGUGUAAAAUGUGAAGUUGCACUUCAGCUUUAUGUGACUUGUGUGAAAUUGUUAUACUUAAAGUAAAUAAUAUGGCCUAAUUUGAUCCUACAGUGUGUUACUCUGCACUUGCUUUUUGAUGAUAACGAAUAAAAAGCAAAAUGAUCAUCCUAAAAUAUAAGCUAUGUCUCCCACAUCACAUAAAUUAUGAACAAGUAAGUAAGUGUUCUUGAAGAGGAUUGUUUUUUUUUCUGUCUCGGUAUUGACUGUCUCUCAUUUGGACUCGGUCUUGACUUGGACUCGACUCGGUCUCGACUAGUCCUGGUCUUGGACUUGUGUUGGACUCGACAAAGGUGGACUUGACUACAGCCCUGCCACUGCCACUGUCAAUGAGAGCAAAUGUUAAAGAAAAAAUAAUGUGAAAAACCAAAAGCAGCCUUUGCUCUAUCCAAUGUCCACUGCAGAAAGUGGACAUUGGAUAGACACACACACACACACACACACACACACACACACACACACACACACACACACACACACACACACACAGUUAGUUAGUUUGACAUGUUUUAUCUGGAAAAGCACCAGUGUAAUUAGAUGUGCUUGGUCCAGGGCCUAUUUUUCUGCGUUGACAAGUCAAAAUGGCCAAUUAUUUCUAUUAGUAUUCUUUCAAUGCUUUUUUUUUUAAUCAAAUGUCAUGACAACAAUUCACCACUAGGAUGCAGCAAAUGCCAAAAAAAAAGUGAAACAUGGGUCUGUUGUGGUAGGGAGCCAUGAUUAAUGCUGUCACUGGGAGAUGUGUUAAAAGUAUAGUAAGCAUGAAUUUGUGUUGUUAACCCAAAUCUUCUCUUUGUGCUCCUUUGGGCUCCCCUUUGACAACUCAAAAAAACCUUUCCAAGUUUCAUGAGAAUUGCUUUUAGACAUGAUUUUCAACUAAUGACAUAUUUCAUAUUUUUCAGGUGUACUUAUUUUAUACUGUUUUUACUACCUUUUAUUAUUUACUCUCAAGGUUUGUGUCCAUUGUCAGCGUCAUUUCCCUGCUUCCCAUUCAUUUUUAGGCGUCGAGUGAGGAGCGGCCGGCUCGGCUCGCCGCCUCUCAAAAUCUGACGAAAUCUUUUAAACUGACCUUUGUCGAACUGAAAUGAACUCAGCAACUGCAUG